UACAGAGGUCUCAAGCGUUGUUCGGAUUCACUGGGUUUAAAGGGUGCGUAGGAGGGCAGGUAAGUCAGUGGUGAAAUCUCCAAGCUUAACUUGGAAACUGCCGUUGAUACUAUCUGUCUUGAAUACCGUGGAGGUGAGCGGAAUAUGUCAUGUAGCGGUGAAAUGCUUAGAUAUGACAUAGAACACCAAUUGCGAAGGCAGCUCGCUACACGAAUAUUGACUCUGAGGCACGAAAGCGUGGGGAUCAAACAGG
rnacentral:rRNA from 1 species